GACGAACGCUGGCGGCGUGCUUAACACAUGCAAGUCGAACGGAAAGGCCCUGCUUUUGUGGGGUGCUCGAGCGGCGAACGGGUGAGUAACACGUGAGUAACCUGCCCUUGACUUUGGGAUAACUUCAGGAAACUGGGGCUAAUACCGGAUAGGAGCUCCUGCUGCAUGGUGGGGGUUGGAAAGUUUCGGCGGUUGGGGAUGGACUCGCGGCUUAUCAGCUUGUUGGUGGGGUAGUGGCUUACCAAGGCUUUGACGGGUAGCCGGCCUGAGAGGGUGACCGGCCACAUUGGGACUGAGAUACGGCCCAGACUCCUACGGGAGGCAGCAGUGGGGAAUAUUGCCCAAUGGGCGGAAGCCUGAUGCAGCAACGCCGCGUGCGGGAUGACGGCCUUCGGGUUGUAAACCGCUUUCGCCUGUGACGAAGCGUGAGUGACGGUAAUGGGUAAAGAAGCACCGGCUAACUACGUG
rnacentral:rRNA from 1 species